UACGUAGGGUCCAAGCGUUAUCCGGAAUCACUGGGCGUAAAGCGUGCGUAGGUGGCAUGUUAAGUGUGAUGUUAAAUCGUGGGGCUCAACCCCGUCGAUGCAUCACAUACUGGCAUACUAGAGGACGGCAGAGGCAAGUGGAAUUUGUAGUGUAGCAGUGAAAUGCGUAGAGAUUACAAGGAACACCAAUGGCGAAGGCAGCUUGCUGGGCCACUCCUGACACUGAGGUACGAAAGCGUGGGGAGCGAACAGG
rnacentral:rRNA from 1 species